UAGGGAAUCUUCGGCAAUGGACGAAAGUCUGACCGAGCAACGCCGCGUGAGUGAAGAAGGUUUUCGGAUCGUAAAACUCUGUUGUUAGAGAAGAACAAGGACGUUAGUAACUGAACGUCCCCUGACGGUAUCUAACCAGAAAGCCACGGCUAACUACGUGCCAGCAGCCGCGGUAAUACGUAGGUGGCAAGCGUUGUCCGGAUUUAUUGGGCGUAAAGCGAGCGCAGGCGGUUUCUUAAGUCUGAUGUGAAAGCCCCCGGCUCAACCGGAGAGGGUCAUUGAAAACUGAGAGACUUGAGUGCAGAAGAGGAGAGUGAAAUUCCAUGUGUAGCGGUGAAAUGCGUAGAUAUAUGGAGGAACACCAGUGGCGAAGGCGGCUCUCUGGUCAGUAACUGACGCUGGGGCUCGAAAGCGUGGGGAGCAAACAGG
rnacentral:rRNA from 1 species